AUUGAACGCUGGCGGCAGGCCUAACACAUGCAAGUCGAGCGGAGCGGCGGAAGGGUGAGUAAUGCCUAGGAAUCGGCCUGGUAGUGGGGGAUAACGUCCGGAAACGGGCGCUAAUACCGCAUACUAUCAGAAUAGCAUAGGUCGGAUUAGCUAGUGGGUGGGGGAAAGGCCUACCAAGGCGACGAUCCGUAACUGGGCUGAGAGGAUGAUCAGUCACACGGGAACGGAGACACGGUCCAGACUCCUACGGGAGUCAGCAGUGGGGAAUAUUGGACAAUGGGCGAAAGCCUGAUCCAGCCAUGCCGCGUGUGUGAAGAAGGUCUUCGGAUUGUAAAGCACUUUAAGUUGGGAGGCGUUACCAACAGAAUAAGCACCGGCUAACUUCGUGCCAGCAGCCGCGGUAAUUC
rnacentral:rRNA from 1 species